rnacentral:rRNA from 1 species
GCUCAGGAUGAACGCUAGCGACAGGCUUAACACAUGCAAGUCGAGGGGCAGCGAGAGAGUGGCAACACUCUUGUCGGCGACCGGCGCACGGGUGAGUAACACGUAUGCAAUCCACCCCGGGCAGGGGGAUAAUCGGAAGAAAUUCCGUCUAAUACCGCGUAAUGCCGCGAGGGGGCAUCCCCUUGCGGCCAAAGGUGGCGACACCGGCCCGGGACGAGCAUGCGGCGCAUUAGCCAGUUGGCGGGGCAACGGCCCACCAAAGCUACGAUGCGUAGGGGUUCUGAGAGGAAGGUCCCCCACACUGGUACUGAGACACGGACCAGACUCCUACGGGAGGCAGCAGUGAGGAAUAUUGGUCAAUGGGCGAGAGCCUGAACCAGCCAAGUCGCGUGAGGGAAGACGGUCCUAUGGAUUGUAAACCUCUUUAGCCGGGGAGCAAGGGGCGCCACGCGUGGCGUCUCGGAGAGUACCCGGAGAAUAAGCAUCGGCUAACUCCGUGCCAGCAGCCGCGGUAAUACGGAGGAUGCGAGCGUUAUCCGGAUUUAUUGGGUUUAAAGGGUGCGUAGGCGGACAGACAAGUCAGCGGUAAAAUUGCGGCGCUCAACGCCGUAGUGCCGUUGAAACUGUCGGUCUUGAGUGAACGAGAAGUGAGCGGAAUGCGUGGUGUAGCGGUGAAAUGCUUAGAUAUCACGCAGAACUCCAAUUGCGAAGGCAGCUCACCGGCGUUCAACUGGCGCUGAAGCACGAAAGCGUGGGGAUCGAACAGGAUUAGAUACCCUGGUAGUCCAUACUGUAAACGAUGAUAGCUAGGUGUGGGGGGUCUGACCCCUUCCGUGCCGGAGUUAACGCAAUAAGCUAUCCACCUGGGGAGUACGGCCGCAAGGUUGAAACUCAAAGGAAUUGACGGGGGCCCGCACAAGCAGUGGUUUAUGUGGUUUAAUUCAGACGCAACGCGAAGAACCUUACCAGGUCUUGACAUCGAGUGACGAACUAAGAGAUUAGUUUUUCCUUCGGGACACAAAGACAGGUGGUGCGUGGUGGUCGUCAGCUCGUGUCGUGAGAUGUUGGCUUAAGUGCCGCAGCGAGCGCAACCCUUGCCAUUAGUUGCUACGAAAGAGCACUCUAAUGGGACCGCCAUCGACAAGAUGGAGGAAGGUGGGGACGACGUCAAAUCAUCAUGCCCCUUAUGACCUGGGCUACACACGUAAUACAAUGGCCGUCAACAACGGGAAGCAAUAUCGCGAGAUGGAGCAAAUCCCCAAAAACGGUCUCAGUUCGGAUUGCAGGCUGCAACUCGCCUGCAUGAAGUUGGAAUAACUAGUAAUCGUGGAUCAGCAUGCCGCGGUGAAUAC